rnacentral:rRNA from 1 species
AAGAGGGCACUGUGACCUCAAUAAAAAACAAGAAAACCCCACAUCUCUUAUCGUUAACCUUACACCAGAGCGCAACUAAGGAAAGACUAAAAGAAAAGGAAGGAACUCGGCAAACGCAAGCCUCGCCUGUUUACCAAAAACAUCGCCUCCUGAAAACCAACAUAUAGGAGGUCCCGCCUGCCCACUGACCCUGUGUUCAAC